rnacentral:precursor_RNA from 1 species
GACACGCGAUAUUGGUGCGGCUCAAUCAAACCAUAUAGUCGAGAGUUGUGACCGAUUAAAUGGUAAGGUUAAACCGCAACAAUAUCUCGGAU